AUGUAUGGGGGGAAAAUGCAGUGUGCAAUACUCUUGAAGUUCAAAUCAAAUCAAAUCAAAUUUAUUUAUAUAGCCCUUCGUACAUCAGCUGAUAUCUCAAAGUGCUGUACAGAAACCCAGCCUAAAACCCCAAACAGCAAGCAAUGCAGGUGUAGAAGCACGGUGGCUAGGAAAAACUCCCUAGAAAGGCCAAAACCUAGGAAGAAACCUAGAGAGGAACCAGGCUAUGUGGGGUGGCCUGGUUGCUUUGCCAGAUUACCAGUGCGAGGCCCUCCUCUUGGCUCUAUGGUUAGGGGUUGUGAAUGCGAGUGGUCUUUACUGUCUUCCCCAGAAGAUGUGACUGAUGCUGAGGCUGAGGCUGAUGCAGAGCCCCAGACAGGGAUCCUAGAGGUGAUCUAUGAUGACGUGCCCUGUGAGGGACCACUCUCUCCUGACGAAGGGGACAUGCUCUAUGAGGAUGUGCACAGAGAAGAUGGGCCCCAGGGUGCAGGCAAUGAUUGGAGCUCCAGUGAGUUUGAGAGCUACGAAGAGCAGUCUGAUACCGAGAGCAAACUACCAACCCUCAGCAAGGUAGGAGAGAUGGUAUUCCAUUUGUAUAUCUAUGCCUGUCUGUUUGUCUGUCUCUC
rnacentral:lncRNA from 1 species